rnacentral:rRNA from 1 species
UACAGAGGUCCCAAGCGUUGUUCGGAUUUACUGGGCGUAAAGGGUGCGUAGGUGGCGGGGUAAGUCUGGUGUGAAAGCUCCGAGCUCAACUCGGAAAAGCAUUGGAAACUAUCCCGCUGGAGGGUCGGAGGGGAGACUGGAAUUCUCGGUGUAGCAGUGAAAUGCGUAGAUAUCGAGAGGAACACCAGUGGCGAAGGCGAGUCUCGUGGACGACUCCUGACACUGAGGCACGAAAGCUAGGGAGCAA